rnacentral:rRNA from 1 species
UACGGAGGGUGCAAGCGUUGUCCGGAUUUAUUGGGUUUAAAGGGUGCGUAGGCGGCCCGUUAAGUCAGUGGUGAAAGCCUCCAGCUCAACUGGAGAACUGCCAUUGAUACUGGCGGGCUUGAGUACAGACGAGGUAGGCGGAAUUGAUUGUGUAGCGGUGAAAUGCAUAGAUACAAUCAAGAACACCGAUUGCGUAGGCAGCUUACUAGGCUGUAACUGACGCUGAGGCACGAAAGCGUGGGGGGAGCGAACAGG